CGGCUCAGUAACACGUGGAUAACCUGCCCUGCGGUGGGAAAUAACCCCGGGAAACUGGGGAUAAUGUCCCAUAGGCUACAGAUGCUGGAAUGCUCUGUAACUCAAAGAUUUAUCGCCACAGGAUGGGUCUGCGGCCGAUUAGGUAGUUGUUGGGGUAACGGCCCAACAAGCCUUUGAUCGGUACGGGUUGUGGGAGCAAGAGCCCGGAGAUGGAUUCUGAGACACGAAUCCAGGCCCUACGGGGCGCAGCAGGCGCGAAAACUUUACAAUGCGGGAAACCGUGAUAAGGGAACUCCGAGUGUCCGUAAAUGCGGACUGUCCGUAUGUCUAAAAAGCAUGCGAAGAAAGGGCCGGGCAAGACCGGUGCCAGCCGCCGCGGUAAUACCGGCGGCUCGAGUGGUGGCCACUAUUAUUGGGCUUAAAGCGUUCGUAGCUGGAUCGUUAAGUCUCUUGGGAAAUCUACCGGCUUAACCGAUAGGCGUCCAAGGGAUACUGGCGAUCUAGGGACCGGGAGAGGUGAGGGGUACUUCAGGGGUAGGAGUGAAAUCCUGUAAUCCUUGGGGGACCACCUGUGGCGAAGGCGCCUCACCAGAACGGCUCCGACAGUGAGGGACGAAAGCUGGGGGAGCAAACCGGAUUAGAUACCCGGGUAGUCCCAGC
rnacentral:rRNA from 1 species